GGCGUAGGACGAACGCUGGCGGCGUGCUUAACACAUGCAAGUCGAGCGAUGAAGCUCUUCGGGAGUGGAUUAGCGGCGGACGGGUGGAGUAACAACGUGGGUAACCGUGCCUCAUAGAGGGGAAUAGCCUUCCGAAAGGAAGAUUAAUACCGCAUAAGAUUGUAAUAUCGCAUGAUAUAGCAAUUAAAGGAGCAAUCCGCUAUGAGAUGGACCCGCGUCGCAUUAGCUAGUUGGUGAGGUAACGGCUCACCAAGGCGACGAUGCGUAGCCGACCUGGGAGGGUGAUCGGCCACAUUGGGACUGAGACACGGCCCAGACUCCUACGGGAGGCAGCAGUGGGGAAUAUUGCACAAUGGGGGAAACCCUGAUGCAAGCAACGCCGCGUGAGUGAUGACGGUCUUCGGAUUGUAAAGCUCUGUCUUCAGGGACGAUAAUGACGGUACCUGAGGAGGAAGCCACGGCUAACUACGUGCCAGCCGCGGC
rnacentral:rRNA from 1 species